UACGGGGGGGGCAAGCGUUGUUCGGAAUUACUGGGCGUAAAGGGCUCGUAGGCGGCCAACUAAGUCAGACGUGAAAUCCCUCGGCUUAACCGGGGAACUGCCUCUGAUACUGGUUGGCUUGAGAUUGGGAGAGGGAUGCGGAAUUCCAGGUGUAGCGGUGAAAUGCGUAGAUAUCUGGAGGAACACCGGUGGCGAAGGCGGCAUCCUGGACCAACACUGACGCUGAGGAGCGAAAGCCAGGGGAGCAAACGGG
rnacentral:rRNA from 1 species